AACAGUCAGAGUAGCCGGAGAAGCCAAAGAGAAGUGAAAGAGGAGGAUCAACAGGCAGCUUGACAAUUUGGUGCUUUCUGCGCUACACACUCAGACUUGUGGAAGUCUAUGAAGAAUGGAAAUGACUUUUGGUUGCUUUUCGAUCAAGACCACUCAGUGUCAUGUGGAUGUACUUCUGCCGUCUUCUGUUGUUGAUGCACUAAACAUGGCAAGUCUCUCAGCACAGAGCCAAGUGAGGCUGUCUGGAGAGGAUUAUCAGGACGAAAAAUGAAAAAACUUUCUGCCUGAUAGAGGAGAAACUUCUGCAAAGAUGAACCCAGAGUCUCUGGAUUCGUCUAUCCAAAGUGCCCUCUCGGCCCUCUUCCCGCCUUUCGAGGUCACAGCGCCUAUCGUCCUUAGCCAGCUGUUUCGCACCAUUGAGGAGCGUUACCAUGGCGAUGCAUUGCAGUGCCUGCUAGAUUUCCUCAUCCCUUCCAAACACCUGCUGGAGAGUGUUCAACAGGCAGCAUGUGCUGGAUACUCUGAUGUGGUUUUCCGCUGUGAGGGCUGGCCUCUAUGUCUCCACAACAAAACCAUCAUACAGUUAGCACCUGUAAACCCUUUGCUUCUGCGUCCUGGAGACUUCUAUCUACAGGUGGAACCUUUCGGGGACCAAGCGGCUCGCAUUGUCCUCAAAAGUCUUCUGGAAGAGGGCUGUCGAGAAGUGGAGGAGACCCCCGUGCCUGAAACUUCGUACCCCUGCAUCUUCACUGAAGACUGGCUACAGGACAUCAAUGAAGGACGCCAUGGAACUCCUCUGUCACGUUGCUUGCUUUGCACAGAUCAAGGAGUAAUAAAGUUGCCCUGGGCCAAAAUAGCUAUCCCAGAGUUUCUGGACAAGCCUAAGAUCAUGCCCACUUAUCGGGAAGCUCCCCCUGAGCCAAAGCAGAUCUUAAUUCCCUCCCAUUUUAACUCCUCCACCCUCCCGAUGGAAGCCAUGAUUCUUACUAUAAAGGAUAGGAUGUCAGCAUCUUUGGGACCUAUGGACUGUUCUUCCAAACAUGUCAAAAUGGAGCAUAAAAGAGGAAAACCAAAAUCAUGCACCAAACCUUUGAUUAAACCUGUAGGUUGGGUUUCUCCUAAUACUUGGGACAGUCGUAACUAUCGAGAGAUUGAGGGUGAUUAUGUAGACCUGGUUGAUAUUGCUAAAGGGAAGGACUUUGUAGAUAAACAGAGAGACAGCUAUCCAAAUCCACCCAAUUCAGCUUUGUUCAAACCUGUCAGACCACCUCCACCUGUACCACUUGGGCAAAGUGUUCCCUGCGGACGCACCCUUCAGUAUGCAGAGGAGCCUUGUACGGCAUGCAGCCAGAGAAAGCCGGGGCAGGAGCUCACUGACCAAGACUUGAAGUGUCGGUACAGAGACUCUUACCUGGCAGCACUGAGAAACCCAGUAACUUUUGAGAGGGGGAGUGUAGACCUCCUAUCUGCCCUGGAAGAGGUCAGACUUCGUGAGGAGGGGGAGUUAAGAUCCAAGGGUACUUUUGAAGCAAGCGAUGAAGUUGGAACCAUUUGUAACCACUCUAAAGAGGCUGUGAUACGUCAUGAGCUCUGCCAAUACAAACACUGCCGUGAUCCAACACCAGAAGACUUUGUGUCACACCAUAUAGACCUUCCUAAAAGUUCUGAAACUGAAAACCUUAUGAAAGAAUCACCCACAAUUUUGAAAUCAACCCCUGGUUUGAGCCAUAGUCAGAGAGUUCAGACAAAACUUAUUUCCCACCCACUGGGACAUAAGGCUAGUGUGCAUCCAGGGUCAGAUGUGUUCUCGGAGACCUGUGAUGACAACAUGAAACCACAGCAGAAGGUGGAGGUUGUAAAACCAUCAGGGAAACACAAAGUUAAGGUGAGAUCUCUGUCCACUGUCUCAGAGACACCUAAAGGGAGUCCACUUCUCUAUAAACUCAACAACAGAAGCCAUAGUGAUAUUUGCCCUGAAACAAUCUCCAACAUAAUCCAAUGCAAGAAAGGUGAACUGUUGGAUCAGGUGACUCCUAAGCUGGAAAGACUGACUGGAAAGUGCUCGAAAAAAGACUGGCAGUCAAGCAGGAGUGAAACUUCCUCGAUCACAGAUGGAGCUGACUCCAGGCUCCGCCACUCAAAGAUAGAAAAGCCACCUUCGCCACAAGUUCAGAUUCUAUCUGCAAGUUCUGACACUCCUCAGUCUCGACAAACAGAGGAACACAGUUUCAGAAGCAUCAGUGGUCUGCUUGAAUUGGGCAUUAUUUGUUUGCCAGGCAGCAGGGACAGGACAGGCAGAGCAGUUGUUGAGGUUCAUGGUGACAGGAAGGAGUGGACGUCAACCCUAGUAUCAGCUAAGAAUGUGUGCGAGUUGCUGCUCUACCUACACUCCAUACCAAGGAAAGAUGUUCGAGAGCUGGGAAUGACUUUAGUCAUCAAUGCCAGGAAGAAGAAUCCUCCGCUUCACGUCUACAAAGCUCUGCUGAUGGCCCAGGAGCAAGCUCUUCAUGCAGUGCAUAGUAUCUUGAUGCUGAUGGAUAAAGACACUUGUCCACGCCCUGAAAAACAGCCUGGGCUGCAGAUGGACAUGGUAACUUCUUUGAAAUCCUUAAACAAGACAGUUGAAGCUUCCCAGCUGACAUCUGACCUCGGUGGUACCUUUACUUACAGCCAUGCAGACUGGCUGCAGUUCCAUCAGAAACUGGUUUCUUUCAUGACUGACCUGCGUGGGGCAGACAGCUUGUUGCAGAAGGCCAUCAGGAAAGUGGAUGGCAGCAAAAAGAUAGACACGGCCCAGGAUGUGCAGCAACGCAUUCAGGAACAGAGGGCUUCAAUGAAAGAUGUGCUCGAGGACACUCGACUGGUCACUCUGCAAAGAGAAGGAGGGGCUGUACUGGCCAGGAUGAGGAGAGAGGAGUUCAGAUUUCCACAGUCUGAAGACUACAGAGAUGCUCUGGAGUCAGUAACAAGUCUGUACAACCAAGUGGAGGAGAAGCUCCACAUGCUGGUGAUGAGAUCGAAUGAGUCCCUGCAGCACCUGGAGCUCCUCUUUAGGCUCAGAGAGAUGGAGGCAAAAAUCAGCAUGGCUGGGACCUGGUUCAAUACAGAAGGUGAACAGAGACUGAUGGACUCUUAUGCAAUAGAUAAUACCCUGGUGUGCACUGAAAAGGCUUUGCAGCACUUCCAACAGUUUCUCACUCAGUCCAAGGAGAAACAACAAUAUGCCUUGACCCUAGUGACGGAGGCAGAGGGCAUUGUUGACACCUGUGACUCCAGUCCUGCAACAGAUAUUUUUCAUACUCUGGUCAGCACUUUCAAAUCCAAUAUGGAUGGUUUUAUGUUACGUGCAGAAAAGAGGUACAAAGAACUGGAAACGCUGGUGCACGUCUAUCGCUUCUGUUAUCAGGCAUCUGCCCUGGCCGAGGAAUGCAGCCAUUUUUUGGAGCAGGUAGAGCAGGGGUGUUACUUAGCUCAGACCCUAAGCACACUCCAGAUGUAUGAAGAGAGAUUAGGUGGUGAAUUCUCCACCUUGCACUUCCAGGCUCUGAAAGUUAAGGCAUGUGGAGUGGGAUCAGGGGCUUCUGGGGUGAUGAAAGUUUGGAAUGCAACUUGGGUCCAGCAGCAAGACGUCAGGCGGCGUCUUGAUGAGAUGCAGAAGAAAAAAGGAGUAGUUAAGAACCAGAUCCAGCAAACCUCAGCUGCAAGCUAUCAAGGGGAUGAUGGAGGAAUAGAGAAGAAAGAGAAAAGGAGUGUAGUGGGGGAGGAUGAAUACCCCCUUGAACAGCAGCCAACCUCUGCUAAAGAGCUAGUUGGUAUCCCAGAAAAUGCAAGCGAAAGCACCACUGCUGCAUGUUUCAAGCACCAUUUACAACCUGACUCGAAAGGGGGAGAGAACGGAGAACCCCAAGCACAGAAAUUAGCUGAAGCAACUCCUGUUUUUCCACAAAACAGUGACUGUCAUCCAGAAACCAAAUGGAGGCUAAGAGAGCACCACAGCGAGGUAGAUCUGAGGAGCACAGACUCUACUGAGGUGGGCAAUGGUUUUCCAUUGCACAAAGCCUUGGGUCGGUCCCUAAGCGAAGGAUCAUGUGUUAGCUCUCAUCUGACAAGCAUAUCUGGCUUUUCACCUUUGAAUGUAAGACACAAACACUGUCAGAGUAGGACGCAGCAGCUGGAAAAUAAUCUGAAGCCCAACCAAAACUUGCCCAUAUCCCAUAAUGAGAGUUUACGGUCAGGAAACUUGACCUGCAAGUCAAAAGGAGACAGUAAUGAAGAGGAGGGAGAAGGAUGCGCAGUCUUCACCCAGAGCCCUAAAGAUUUUAGGACUCCAGAGACAUUACUCACGCCAACAGAAAACAAUAGCAGCAAUGUUUUGAAACUGCGGAGGAUAAUGGAGGAGCUGCUGUCAACAGAGAGGGAGUAUGUAAAGGCUCUGGGUUAUGUCCGAGAACACUACUUCCCCGAGCUGGAGAGGGCGGAUGUCCCCCAGGACCUCAGGGGCCAGAAGGGGAGCAUCUUCAGUAACUUAGAGAAACUCCACGACUUCCAUCGACAUCAUUUCCUAAAUGAGUUGGAGAGUUGUGUGAAUGAACCCUUCAGAGUGGGACGCUGUUUCCUACGACAUAGAGAGAGCUUUGCUUUGUAUGCCCUUUACAGCAAGAACAAACCACAGUCGGAUAGUCUUCUUAUCAAUCAUGGACAAGCUUUCUUCAAGCAAAAGCAGCUGAGGCUGGGGGAUAAAAUGGACCUGUGGUCGUACCUGCUGAAGCCUGUGCAGCGCAUCAGUAAGUACAGCCUGCUGCUGCAGGACAUGAUGAGUGAGUGUGGUCCGGGACAAACAAGAGAGACUGCUGAGGUCAAGGCUGCCCUGGAGGUCAUCCACUUCCAGCUCCGCCAUGGCAACAACCUGCUGGCAAUGGACGCAAUCCACAACUGUGACGUUAAUCUGAAGGAGCAGGGGCAACUGAUACGCCAAGACGAGUUCCUGGUAACAUCAAGAAAGAAAAAAUGUUUCCGCCACAUUUUUCUCUUUCAAGAACUCAUCCUCUUUAGCAAAACUCGGAAGACGGAUGUAGGAAAUGACACAUAUAUCUACAAACAGUCAUUCAAGACAUCAGACAUAGGCAUGACCCAAAACAGCGGUGACAGUGGUCUGUGUUUUGAGAUCUGGUUCAGGAAAAGGAAAAGCCAGGACACAUUCAUACUCCAGGCAGUUAGCCAGGAGGUGAAGGAGGCCUGGACAAAGGACCUGGAGCGGAUACUCUGGGAGCAGGCAGUACACAACAGAGAGGUCCGUAUGCAGGAGAGAGUGUUUAUGGGUAUUGGAAACAAGCCUUUCAUGGACAUCAAACCCAGUGAAGCAGCAAUCAAUGAUAGAGCCGUCAACUAUGUGCUAAUGGGAAGAAUCUCUGCAGAAAACAAGUCGCUGUCACCUGUGGGAUCAUAUGGGGCUCAGGAUGGGCACUCAGGGGGUCGUCCAAAAUCUGUUGGUUCAGGAAGCAGUUCAUCCUCCUCCUCUUCCUCUGGAGGGGGUUCGCUGUCCCCUGUGGGAUACCGGUGUGGGCCAAAGCGGAGGACGGUUGAGGGAGUGCUUGCGGGAUACGUAUUGCAGCAUGGAGCUCUGGAGGAAGAUGACCUGGACCAUGAGAGUGGGAGUCAGAACCUACUAUUGGACAGCUCUGAGUCGUCAGGAGAGAGUGUAAGCGGCUUCAGCAGUUGCAGUCACAGCUACCACUCUGCUAUCGGGGGAGAUGUGGAGGACACCCCCUCUGUCUGUGCCUCUGUAAUCAGUGUUAAGGAGGCUGCGGUUAAUCAUCGAGCAGAAGCUUCAGCAGAUUUCCACAAACCAAAUGCUCUGGCAGGAUCCCCAGACAAAACGCUACCACCACUUGCACCAAAGCCCAAACAAAAACCACAGUACCAGGCCAAGGAUCUCCCCCGUGGCAAGGUGCAGGGCAAAUCUCCGAUCCAGUAAUAGAGUUCAGAACACUAGCUUUGGAAAAUCCACUGAGGUUUGACCUGUACAAGAUCUGGAGGUAAACCAAGAAAAGAAGAGAAGUCUGCUGAUGUCUGUGUGGAAGAGGACACUAUUUAAACAGACACCUUUUUAUACGAUCUGUUACUGUAAUCCCUUACCACUCUGUAAAUACAUCUUUUUAAUCUCACCACUAAAAGGACAGGUCAUAAAAAUGUUUAUAAAUGCACAGUAUUCUGAACAUGAACAGUGGCAAAUUUUGAAAUACAUACUGCACCUGACAUGGCUUUGCAUAGUAUAUUGUAAAUCAGUCUAGUUUCAUAGUUCAUUCAGAAGAUCAUAGAGUUUCUGCAGUCUUUGUGUCUGCGCUUAACAGUCAUUCAUAACAAAAUGCUAAACUAUACUGUAGUUUGAAAAUAUGGCUAAAUCAUUGUGGUGAAAUAAAAAAGCAGUACCUAAUGUCAUCUUUUAUGUCCUACAGUAAAUGUGUUGCCGUUUGUACAGAUUUAUCAAACUCGAUUGCUUAUUUCCUCUGAAAAUAAAACACAUUCACUCUGUCUUUUCUUUUAAUUAACAGUUUUGUAUAAACUCAUAUGUUACUGCUAUGAAGAUAUUGAUCUAUGCAUCAGUUGUAUGGCUUUCUAUUUGAAAUACAGAAUAUUUGCAGUAAUGAUGUAUGCACUGUAUGUUUGCUUUUAUCUGUGUUUUUAUUUGCACCUCAAUUUUUUUUUGCAAUAAACUUAACCAACAGCAUUUACAGCCAGACUGAAAUUUGUAAACAUAAAUAUUGGUGGCUAAUGUUUGUCUAUAUUUUGCACAUGCCUAAUAGUUCCAUUACUAGCACAAAUGUCAACUGUGGCUCAAAUAGAGCUCAGAAAUGGACAUAUAACACAGGUGUAGCCAUCACAACAUCAUAAAGUAUCAUCCAUGUUUUCCUUGACUAUUUCAUUAAAGGUUGUAUUUAAAACUCUUCGCAAAAUGUAAAGAAUCACUUGUUCUGCCCACAAUACUAACCAUAUAAAAAUAAAAUUCAACGAAA